UGGACAGCUGCCCAGGUCAGGAAUGGUGAAAAGGAACCACUGCUUUCCUUGGUCUCUUUGCUCUCAGAAGCCAAGAUAAAUGCCAUCCCGACCCUAUGCCCACAGCUAUCCCUUUUUCUUAGGAAAGGAUUUGGCUCCUUCCAGCUCAGUGCCUCUGUACAUAAGCUUUUGCUCUGCCUGGGAGAUGCUUCUAACCCCUAAGGACCUGCCCUGGUUGUUAGACUAUAAUCUAAACUGACAACAGACGUUCUGGUUUUUAAAAAAAGUCCUAUCAUUUCCAUCCUUUCCAUUCAACAUCUCCCCUCAUUGUUCCCUCCCCCAGCCUAUCAUCCCCCUUCCUAAGUUGAUAGUGAGUCUUAUUAAGUGGUGCUGUGUCAUAAAGUGUUGAGUUGUGUCAGCUGGAAAUGGAACAUGAUUAAGUAUAUAAAGGAGCCCCAGCCUCGCCUGCCACAACAUUAUACAACAGAAACCUUGGCAGUGUGCUAACAUCUUUUCUUUCUCUCUUUCCUGGGGAGCAGCGAGCCCGCCUCUCACCAUGUGGGUCCAGUUGUUGGUCCUGGGCUCAAGUUGGCCAAGUGCAGAGAAGCAAGCUAACAGGAGAGAGAAAAAAGGUUCCAGCUCUGUUAUAUAACGGCACUACAGUAACGCACCCCGGUCCUUGGCAGCCCUGUAAAUUCCUCCUCUCUGAAUUGUUGGUUCGGGACAAUCAUUCAGCAGGGAAUUACUUUCUCAUCUAUGAAAUAAAUGAGAUGUUAAACUAGU